UAUUCAAAACUUUCAACAACGGAUCUCUUGGUUCUCGCAACGAUGAAGAACGCAGCGAAUUGCGAUAAGUAUUGUGAAUUGCAGAUUUCGUGAAUCAUCGAAUCUUUGAACGCACAUUGCGCCCUCUGGUAUUCCGGAGGGCAUGCCU
rnacentral:rRNA from 1 species